rnacentral:rRNA from 13 species
AACCUAUUCUCAAACUUUAAAUAUGUAAGAAGUCCUUGUUACUUAAUUGAACGUGGACAUUUGAAUGUAUCGUUACUAGUGGGCCAUUUUUGGUAAGCAGAACUGGCGAUGCGGGAUGAACCGAACGCCGCGCUAAGGUACCCAAGUGUCCGCUCAUCAGAGACCACAAAAGGCGUUGGUACCUCCAGACAGCAGGACGGUGGCCAUGGAAGUCGGAACCCGCUAAGGAGUGUGUAACAACUCACCUGCCGAAGGUACUAGCCCUGAAAAUGGAUGGCGCUCAAGCGGACCACCGAUGCGCGGCCGCCGGCGCGAGUGCGAGGCGCCGGCGAGUAGGAGGGCGCGGGGGUCGCGGCGCAGCCUUGGGCGUGAGCUCGGGUGAAGCGUCCUCCGGUGCAGAUCUUGGUGGUAGUAGCAAGUAUUCAAAUGGGAACUUUGAAGACUGAAGUGGAGAAAGGUUCCAUGUGAACAGCAGUUGGACAUGGGUGAGCCGACCCUAAGAGACAGGAGAACUCCGCCGAACGCGGCCGCUUCCGUCGGCCCGUCCGUCGAAAGGGAAUCGGGUUAACAUUCCCGAGCCAGUGCGUGGAUGGUGGGCGGCGACGCGAACGAUCCCGGAGACGCCUGCGGGAGCCCUGGGAAGAGUUCUCUUUUCUUCUUGACUGUCUUGUCCGCCCUGGAAUCGGUUUAGCCGGCGAGAGGGCCACGCGGCAGGCAAAGCACCUUACGUCUUGAGGUGUCCGGCGCGCUCCCGACGGCCCGUGAAAAUCCGGGGGAGCGUUU